ACACUUACCUGGCAGGGGAGAUGCCAUGAUCACAAAGGUGGUUUUCCCAGGGCGAGGCUUACCUAUUGCACUCUGGAUGUGCUGACCCCUGUGAUUUCCCCAUGUGGGAAACUCAACUGCAUAAUUUGUGGUAGUGGGGGACUGCGUUCACACUCUCCCCUG
rnacentral:snRNA from 1 species